rnacentral:rRNA from 1 species
UACGUAGGGGGCAAGCGUUGUCCGGAAUCAUUGGGCGUAAAGCGCGCGUAGGCGGCCCGGUAAGUCCGCUGUAAAAGUCCAGGGCUCAACCCUGGAAAGCCGGUGGAUACUGUCGGGCUAGAGUCCGGAAGAGGCGAGUGGAAUUCCUGGUGUAGCGGUGGAAUGCGCAGAUAUCAGGAGGAACACCGAUGGCGAAGGCAGCUCGCUGGGACGGUAACUGACGCUGAGGCGCGAAAGCGUGGGGAGCGAACAGGG